GUGGGGAAUAUUGCGCAAUUGGGGGCAAGCCUGACGCAGCCAUGCCGCGUGAAUGAAGAAGGCCUUCGGGUUGUAAAGUACUUUCGGUAUUGAGGAAGGUUGAUGUGUUAAUAACCUUUCCAAUUGACGUUACAUACAGAAGAAGCACCGGCUAACUCCGUGCCAGCAGCCGCGGUAAUACGGAGGGUGCGAGCGUUAAUCGGAAUUACUGGGCGUAAAGGGCACGCAGGCGGUUAUUUAAGUGAGGUGUGAAAGCCCUGGNCUUAACCUGGGAAUUGCAUUUCAAACUGGGUAACUUGAGUACUGUAGGGAGGGGUAGAAUUCCACGUGUAGCGGUGAAAUGCGUAGAGAUGUGGAGGAAUACCGAAGGCGAAGGCGGCCCCUUGGAAAUGUACUGACGCUCAUGUGCGAAAGCGUGGGGAGCAAACAGGAUUAGAUACCCUGGUAGUCCCACGCUGUAAACGCUGUCGAUUUGGAGGUUGGGGUUUAANUCAGUGCCCUCGUAGCUAACGUGAUAAAUCUCACCGCCUGGGGAGUACNGCCGCGCANGGUA
rnacentral:rRNA from 1 species